rnacentral:rRNA from 1 species
AGUCUGGCCUGCCCAAUGAUUUUUGAAUGGCCGCAGUAUUUUGACUGUGCAAAGGUAGCAUAAUCAUUAGUUUUUUAAUUGAAAGCUGGAAUGAAAGGUUUGAUGAGAAAAUAACUGUCUCUAUGUAAAUGUUUUAGAACUUCAAUUUUAAGUGAAAAAGCUUAAAUUUUUUAUAAAGACGAGAAGACCCUAUAGAGUUUUAUAUUUGAGUAUAUUUAAUGGUUGUUGAAUUUAUUCUUUUAUCUUUAUUUAAGUAUUUUGUUGGGGCGAUGGGGAAAUUAAAUAAACUUUCUUUUGUUUUUUACAUUGAUUUAUGAUUAUUUGAUCCUGAUUUUUGGAUUACAAGAUUAAAUUACCUUAGGGAUAACAGCGUAAUUUUUUUUGGAGAGUUCUUAUCGAUAAAAAAGUUUGCGACCUCGAUGUUGGAUUAAAAUUAAAUUUUGGUGUAGGAGCUAAAAUUUUAGGUCUGUUCGACCUUUGAAAUUUU